UACAGAGGGUGCGAGCGUUGUCCGGAAUCACUGGGCGUAAAGGGCGCGUAGGUGGCGCGACAAGUCAGUGGUGAAAGCUCGAUGCUUAACAUCGAGUCGGCCACUGAUACUGUUGGGCUUGAGCACUGUAGAGGCUAAUGGAAUUCCGGGUGUAGCGGUGGAAUGCGUAGAUAUCGUAAGGAAGACCAGUGGCGAAGGCGGGUCUCUGGACAGUUCCUGACGCUGAGGCACGAAGGUCAGGGGAGCAAACGGG
rnacentral:rRNA from 1 species